rnacentral:rRNA from 1 species
UACGGAGGGGGCAAGCGUUGUUCGGAAUUACUGGGCGUAAAGGGCGCGCAGGCGGCUGCUCAAGUCAGGCGUGAAAGGCCUGGGCUCAACCCGGGAAUUGCCUCCGAUACUGGCAGUCUCGAGUGCGGGAGAGGUGAGUGGAAUUCCCAGUGUAGAGGUGAAAUUCGUAGAUAUUGGGAAGAACACCAGUGGCGAAGGCGGCUCACUGGCCCGUAACUGACGCUGAGGUGCGAAAGCGUGGGGAGCAAACAGG